UCCUGCUGCUCCCAAUAUGGCUCAGUGAGAUGAGAUUCCAUUCAGGGGUCUCCAUACGCACCCUAGUGACAUCUAAUAGACCUGCUGUAACAGGAAGCAGAUGGUGAGGUGUCAAGAGGCUUAGGACCCCUCUCUGGACCCUGUUGGGAUCCCACUGCUCCAUGAUCCCUGGCAAGUCACCUCCAUUUUGGGGCUUUGGUUUCCUCGUGUUAAAUACUCACGUGUUAAAUACAGUUGCCUUCCAGCUCAAUUACAGAAUCGUGGAUUACAGCCUGCCCCUCCCAAACCAAGGACCUUGGAUUUGUUUUGUUUUCUUUCCUGUUGGGUGCAUAUCCAUUGGGCACACGGCCAAGAUGGGUAAAGGUCUCGCAGUCAUUCAGGUAUGUGAGAUUAUGUCAGCCCUGCACCAGACUCAACCCUGAAAGGACUUUGCAAGGAAAGGGGUCAGUUGACCAGUCCUGACCUACCCCGUGCUAACUUCUGGACAUGGGCUUUUCCUCAUUCCAUCCCAACUAAACAGACGGAAGAAACAUACAAAGAAGGAACUUUCGAGAGCAGCAAAGACUCAAGGAUCAGCCUAUGAAAGUGGGGCUGGGGAAAAACAAAAGCCCGGACCAAGCUCAUGGCGGAAGAGGACAGCUCUGCGAUCCCUGCCCAGGGCAGGUAACCUCGGAUGGGAGCAGCGCCAGCUCCCAUGUGUUUUCUCCAAGCUGUUGACAUACCUCCCGACAGGUAGCUCCAGGAGUAAAAACAAUCUAGCUCACCUGAGUGUCUUCACAGUGGCCCUAAACUACCUUCAGACCCGACUUUCAGAGCAAACCAGCUGGGCUGGCUGGAGGAAUGAAUGCAGAUGUGUCUCAGGAUUCAACGAAGUGCAGGACAGGAGAAGCUGUCUGUCCUGUCCUUCAGGAACUCAGUCAACGCCAAGAGCAGCAGCCUAGGAAGAGACAACACAGGCCAGGCACCAAAGAAAUGUCUUUUCCUUUCAUCCCAGUGACCCAAAUCCACGGGCCCCACUAAUGUUUGUUUUGACUUCUUAGAUCUGGAAGCCUAGGGCAGUUCAUGUGCGGUGGGCUGUUUAGCUGACAAAUCUUUUAAUGGACGAAUUAGCAAGCUUCUUAUGUGGUCACCUGAUAGGCCAGACUUCCUGAGACACAUACACACAAACAGAGGCUCCCGACACCGCCCCAAACUGCACCCAGAGCUUGAUCACGCUGUGAUAAAGAUCUGGGAUAAUCUUGAGUUCCCGCUAGCUGGGUGUCUGUUUUCAUACCAAGGAAAAGAUUCACAGGGAAAGGCAAAUAUGCAUCAUGAAUGCAGCUCAUGUUAGCAGUGUUCUCGGAGGAAAUUCAAGAUGAGAAUGGGGGUGGAUCUUCCUUUCAACGUUUCAAGGGCACCUGCUUGUGCUGGGCUUGAUAAUGUCAAAUAAUCGAGAGUUGGUGUUAGAGCAAACCUGUCCUCCCUCAUGGUCCCCUUAUUCUGAGAUGCUCUUUCCCACUCUCCUUUUUCACUCAAACAAGUGCCUGCAAAGCGGACCAGAGUCGUCGUUGAACCUCAUCCUCCAAGGAAAUAAACCCCUUGCUCUCUGAUAAUUCCUGCCGAUGCACUGCAUAAUGCCGUUACCUAACAUCAGAGCUGAGUGUGGUGGAGAGUGACGCACAAAGGCACUUCAGAAUGUUCAUGGAGAAACAGGAAGUAAAGCAGUCUUUAGAAAGUUCAUAUAAAAAGUUUAUUUUAUUGGAAGCGCAUGGAUUUCAAAAUAUCUUGCACCAGAGUAAGCUUACCUUUGAAUUCGAUUUUCUAUGAAUGUUUUGAAGACUCCUUGCAUGUGUGUGAGCCCCUCCUGUCGCUUUCCUGACUGGACGCGCUCACCACCCACCUGCCGGACAUUUGUAAAGUACAGUGUCACACACUACAUUGUCAAAGACCAUUGGGACAGAAUUCUUGUAGCUUUUCUGCUUUCCUUUAGUUCCUUGGGAUUGAAGUACAAAAUCCUGCUCAGAACUCCACUCAAGGCUGCAGGCGAGCUGUUGGGGGAGAAAAAACAGCAAGAGAAAUGUUUCCAAGUGACAGAAAAGUUCUGGAUGCACUUUAGCGUUUCCAAAGCCUGCAUUUCAUAGGAUGUAAAAUGUGCUAAUCCCCACCUUGUGAUGCUGUUAUUAGGGCUGGAGAGAACACAGGGAAAGGACCUUCUGCUGAGCUUAGGACGUACAAGGCACUCAAAAACUAGAAGCCGGGGCUGGUGCUGUGGCUCACUUGGUUGAUCCUCCACCUGGAGCAUUGGCAUCCCAUGUGGACACUGGGUUCUAGUCCCGGUUGCUCCUCUUCCAGUCCAGCUCUCUGCUGUGGCCCGGGAGUGCAGUGGAGGAUGGCCCAAGUGCUUGGGCCCUGCACCCCAUGGGAGACCAGGAGGAAGCACCUGGCUCCUGGCUUCAGAUCGGCACAGUGUCAGCCAUGGCGUCCAUUUGGGGAGUGAACCGGUGGAGGGGGGACCUUUCUCUCUCACU